AUAAGAUAGAUAUUCAAUCAGAUUGUUGGUAGAUGACUGACUAGUGACAUGUGAUGGGGUAGAUCUCAUCUCUAGUGUGUUUAAAGUAGAUGCAAAGAAUAAGAUGGUAACUAGAGAGAACCUGACAGAUUUCUAUUUGUUUCAUUAACUCCUGGUUCUUGUUUUGAAGAUCAUCAACCAAGGCUGCUUUUGCAAGGGCACCUUCAAUGGUCCUCUCAGCAUCAAUAACAAGCAGUUCACGAGUGACUUGAUUAAUUUUCAAUAAGAAAGGAAGCAAUUGUAGAAAAUACCUCAGAUCGUGCAAGCUUAAGUUCAGCUUCUAAAGGAGCAAGGAUGGCUUCAAUUGGAGGGAUGUCAUCGUCCUUUUGUGCAGCAUGGACCCGUCUUAAAGUGGCUUCAGCAGCAAACUGAGCAGCCAUUGAGGCUUUCUUCUCCUCAUUGAUUUUCUUGAUUUCUAGAUUCUGCAGUACAAUUGAUAUCAUAUUUGUAUUAGAAUAAAAACAUAACCAGGCUAAGGAGGGAUUAUGAGCAAUACUUUGCUUUGGAGGAUUGAUUCUGUCAACUUGAGCUUCUCAUCCAACUUAGCUAGCUCCUCAGUAUGCUAAGUAGUAAAAAAAAAUAGAGGAAAAAGUCAAUCCAGUAAAAGCAUGACAAACUAACUCACUUUAGACAAAGAAAGAGAAUGUAUCCUGUCUGCAAAUUUAUUUGACAUUUUAAAACAUAAAAGUCGAGAACAGACACAUGAUGUCAUGAUUGAUUAAAAACUAGUAAGUAGUACCUAGUACCCCCACUUGGGAUAAAUACACCUGAACCAUGCCAUGAUAAAUGAAUUUUUCAACUAACAAACAAAACAUAUAGACUAUGUGGUGAAAGGAAAAAAUAAAAGUGACUACACUCAGAUGAGUAACUUAGCAACAACCAUUAUUGAUUAGCUGAACCAAAACAAAUUUGUAAAAGAUGGACUUCCCUUAAUAAUAUGUAAAAUUGAAAAAAAAAAAUUAGAAUUUCAGACGAAGACAAGACAAAGACAAAAA